rnacentral:rRNA from 1 species
GAUGAACGCUAGCGGCAGGCUUAACACAUGCAAGUCGAGGGGCAGCAUGACGAAACCUUCGGGUUUUGUUGAUGGCGACCGGCGCAAGGGUGCGUAACGCGUGAGCAACUUGCCCUUAUCAGGGGGAUAACCGGUGGAAACGCCGACUAAUACCCCAUAGUAUUGGCUUUAGGCAUCUUUAGUCAAUUAAAGAAUUUCGGAUAAGGAUAGGCUCGCGUGACAUUAGCUAGACGGCGGGGUAACGGCCCACCGUGGCGACGAUGUCUAGGGGUUCUGAGAGGAAGGUCCCCCACACUGGAACUGAGACACGGUCCAGACUCCUACGGGAGGCAGCAGUGAGGAAUAUUGGUCAAUGGUCUGACGACUGAACCAGCCAAGUCGCGUGAAGGAUGAAGGUUCUAUGGAUUGUAAACUUCUUUUGUCUGAGGGUAAAAAAGCGGACGUGUCCGUUCUUGCAAGUAUCAGACGAAUAAGCAUCGGCUAACUCCGUG